GUGCUAGCUUCGGCAGCACAUUAACUAAAAUUGGAACGAUACGGAUAAGAUUAGCAUGGUCCCUGUGCAAGGAUGACACACGAAUAACCACUAGCAUACUUCUAUUAU
rnacentral:snRNA from 1 species